AGGAAAAGAAACCAACAGGGAUUGCCCCAGUAACGGCGAGUGAAGCGGCAACAGCUCAAAUUUGAAAUCUGGCCCCCCCCCGGGGCCCGAGUUGUAAUUUGCAGAGGAUGCUUUUGGCGAGGCGCCUUCCGAGUUCCCUGGAACGGGACGCCAUAGAGGGUGAGAGCCCCGUCCGGUCGGAUGCCGAGCCUCUGUAAAGCUCCUUCAACGAGUCGAGUAGUUUGGGAAUGCUGCUCUAAAUGGGAGGUAUAUGUCUUCUAAAGCUAAAUACCGGCCAGAGACCGAUAGCGCACAAGUAGAGUGAUCGAAAGAUGAAAAGCACUUUGAAAAGAGGGUUAAACAGUACGUGAAAUUGUUGAAAGGGAAGCGCUCACGACCAGACUUGGGCCUGGCGGAUCAUCGGCGUUCUCGCCGGUGCACUCCGCCGGCUCCAGGCCAGCAUCAGUUCGCGCCGGGGGACAAAGGCUCGGGGAAUGUAGCUCCCUCGGGAGUGUUAUAGCCCCCUGCGCAAUGCCUGGGGCGGACUGAGGUUCGCCGUCCCGCAAGGAUGCUGGCGUAAUGGUCGUCA
rnacentral:rRNA from 1 species